CUUAUCACAGCAGAAUUUGUAACAUGCCAUAAUUUCUUAACCGGUGUGUGUAGCCCCGGAAAUCAAAUGUCAUUACCCGACGCGGCUAAUUUGGCGAUUAUUCCUGCUCUUUUGUUUUUUGACAAUGCCAGCGGCGGGGACCAGUCGCACCUUUACGAUCGGAUCCUCGGUGUCGCUGCUUGUUUGCACUGAAGAAGCCUCCUAGGAUUGUCCGCUUGAUGGUAUAGCUUGCAGAGACUCCAACUGUCAUUGAUCCGCUACCAGAGCCUCUACGGAUAGUAAAGGAAUAAAUUCGCCAAGAUGAUGUGCGAGGUGAUGCCCACCAUCAGCGAGGACACAGCGCUGAGCCAGCGCGGCUCUCAGAGCAGCACCUCAGACCCGGACUCCCACUUUGAGCAGCUGAUGGUCAACAUGCUGGACGAGAGAGACCGGCUGCUGGACACGCUGAGGGAGACCCAGGAGAGCCUCGGCCUGGCCCAGCAGCAUCUUCAGGACGUCAUCUAUGACCGUGACUCUCUGCAGCGCCAGCUCAGCUCUGCCCUGCCACAGGAGUUUGCUGCGCUGACCAAGGAGCUGAACGCCUGCAGGGAGCAGCUGCUGGAGAAGGAGGAGGAGAUCUCUGAGCUCAAAGCAGAGAGGAACAACACCAGGCUACUGCUGGAGCAUCUGGAGUGCCUGGUGUCCAGACAUGAGCGGUCACUUCGUAUGACAGUGGUCAAGCGGCAGGCUCAGUCUCCCUCGGGAGUCUCCAGUGAAGUUGAGGUCCUCAAAGCGCUCAAGUCCUUGUUUGAACACCAUAAAGCCCUAGAUGAGAAGGUACGAGAGAGACUACGGGUGUCACUGGAGAGGGUGUCUGCCUUGGAGGAGGAGCUCACAGCAGCCAAUCAGGAGAUUGUGGCCUUACGGGAACAAAAUGCUCACAUUCAGAGAAAAGUGGCUUCCGGGGAGGGAGGAGAGGACAUAUUGGAGGGCAGUGAAACUCAACAGAAGAUCCAUAGCAAGCGUCUGUCCAACGGCUCUCUGGAGUCGGCCCAUGAAGCGAGCCAGGUGGUGGAGCUGCAGGACCUGCUGGAGAAGCAGAACUACGAGCUGGCCCAGAUGAAGGAGCGCAUGUCCUCCCUCUCCUCUCGGGUCUCCGAGGUGGAGCAGGAGCUGGAGACUGCCCGCAAAGACCUCAUCAAGUCAGAGGAGAUGAACAACAAGUACCAGAGGGACAUCAAAGAGGCCAUGUGUCAGAAGGAAGACAUGGAGGAACGGAUUGUAACUUUGGAAAAACGCUACCUAAGCGCCCAACGAGAGUCCACCUCGGUGCACGACAUCAAUGACAAACUGGAGAAUGAGUUGGCCAACAAGGAGGCGUUCCUCAGACAGAUGGAGGAGAAGAACAGGCAGCUACAGGAGAGGCUGGAGCUUGCAGAGCAGAAGCUCCAGCAGACCAUGAGGAAGGCUGAGACGCUGCCGGAGGUAGAGGCUGAACUGGCCCAGAGGAUAGCAGCCCUCACCAAGUCUGACUCCAGCUCCUCUUCCUCCCCUGAUGAUUAUCACUUUGUUAUGGAAGCUAAACUCCAAGACAUGAACUCCAUUCUUAGGAAGGCGGAAGAGCGUCACGGGAGCAUUGAGGAGCGAAUGAGGCACUUGGAAUGCCAGCUGGAGGAGAAGAACCAGGAGCUGCUACGGGCUCGACAGAGAGAAAAGAUGAAUGAGGAGCACAACAAACGACUCUCCGACACGGUGGACAGACUCCUCACAGAGUCAAACGAGCGCCUUCAGCUCCACCUGAAGGAGAGAAUGGCAGCUCUAGAAGAGAAGAAUCUGUUAAUCCAAGACUCGGAAGGUUAUAGAAAACAGUACGAGGAGUCAAUCCAAGAAAAAACACAGCUGGCAGAGGAGAUUGAGAAACUGAGAUCAGAGCUCGACCAAUUCAGAUUGAGGGCAGGCUCCCUCACAGAACCCACCCUGUCACGGUCUCAUCUGGACACAUCAGCUGAGCUCAGAUUCUCGUUGGGAUCUCUGGCUGAAACCCAGUCGGACCAUUACCGCUCAGCCAAGGUCAUCCGCCGGCCAAGGAGAGGUCGAGUGGGUCUGCGUGAAACCAAGGCUAAAUCGCUGGGGGAACAUGAAUGGCGCUCGCAGCAGCUAGGGGUUCUGGGAGGCCACCACUUUGAGAGCGACACGGAGAUGUCGGACAUCGAUGACGACGACAGGGAAACAUUGUUUAGCUCCAUGGACCUGCUCUCACCCAGCGGCCACUCUGAUGCACAAACUCUGGCCAUGAUGCUGCAGGAGCAGCUGGAUGCAAUCAACAAGGAGAUUCGGCUGAUCCAGGAGGAGAAGGAGUCGACAGAGCUGCGGGCGGAGGAGAUUGAAAACCGGGUGGCCAGUGUCAGCCUCGAGGGCCUCAACCUGGCUCGAAUGCACCACCACGGAGCCUCCAUCACCGCCUCAGCUACCGCCUCCUCCUUGGCCUCCUCCUCCCCACCCAGCGGACACUCCACCCCCAAACUUGAUCCUCGAAGCCCCGCCCGCGACAUGGAGCGCAUGGGGGUCAUGACACUGCCCAGUGAUCUGAGGAAACACAGAAGAAAGAUAGCAGCGGUGGACGAGGAUGGCCGCGAGGACAAGGCCACCAUCAAAUGUGAGACAUCGCCCCCUCCAACGCCGCGCACUGUCCGAAUGACACACACACUGCCAGCCUCUUCGCACAAUGACGCACGAGGGAUCGUGGCCUCUCUGGAGGCUGAGGCCAGCGCGCUGAGUAGUGUAGCCAGCAGCCAAGACUCCCUCCACAAGCAGCCGAAGAAGAAGGGCAUCAAAUCCUCCAUCGGACGGCUUUUUGGCAAGAAGGAGAAAGGCAGACUGGCACAUCUGGCACACAGACACGUCAUGGUAGAUCCACAAGCGACCAUGAUGGACCCAGACAUGGCAGGCCAGGAUAUGGGGAUGGGCAAGCUGGGAACUCAGGCUGAGAAGGACCGCAGGUUGAAAAAGAACGGACACGAGCUAUUGGAGGAGGCCAGGAGAAAGGGUUUACCUUUCGCCCAAUGGGACGGUCCCACCGUUGUAGCCUGGCUGGAGCUGUGGUUGGGAAUGCCGGCCUGGUACGUGGCGGCGUGCCGUGCCAACGUGAAGAGUGGAGCCAUUAUGUCGGCCCUAUCUGACACAGAGAUCCAGAGGGAGAUCGGUAUCAGUAACCCUCUGCACCGGCUCAAACUUCGCCUGGCCAUCCAGGAAAUGGUCUCCCUCACCAGCCCCUCUGCCCCGCCCACCUCCAGAACCCCGUCAGGCAAUGUAUGGGUGACCCAUGAGGAGAUGGAGACCCUGGCAGCCCCUUCCAAAACGAAGUCACAGUCUGAAGAGGGGAGCUGGGCACAGACUCUAGCUUAUGGCGACAUGAACCAUGAGUGGAUAGGGAAUGAGUGGCUGCCCAGUCUAGGACUACCUCAGUACCGCAGCUACUUCAUGGAGUGCCUGGUGGAUGCACGCAUGCUGGACCACCUCACCAAGAAGGACCUGAGGGUGCACCUCAAAAUGGUGGACAGCUUCCACAGAACAAGUUUACAGUAUGGAAUCAUGGGUCUGAAGAAGCUCAACUAUGACAGGAAAGAGCUGGAGAGACGCAGGGAGCACAGCCAGCAUGAAAUGAGAGACGUACUGGUGUGGAGUAAUGAGCGGGUCAUCCGCUGGGUGCAGAGCAUAGGCCUGAGGGACUACGCCAACAUCCUGCUGGAGAGCGGUGUUCAUGGAGCACUGGUCGCCUUGGAUGACAACUUCGACUAUAGCAGUCUGGCACUGCUCCUCCAGAUCCCCAACCAAAACACUCAGGCACGUCAGAUUCUGGAGCGAGAGUACAAUAAUCUGCUGGCGCUGGGCACUGACAGGAGACUGGAUGAGUGUGACGAUAAAGACUUCCGAGGUCCAUCAUGGAGGAGGCAGUUUCCGCCCCGAGACGUUCACGGUAUAAGUAUGAUGCCCGGAUCAGCAGAGACGCUCCCUGCUGGAUUCCGUCUCACCACGUCUGGUCACUCUCGAAGACUGCCUCCUGAGGUCCUCUAUGAGGCGCUGGAUGACAGUCCUGACGACUUGUAUUUGGAUUGGUUUCAAGGUCAGCUAUGCCACUCCGAAGGUCCUGGGCUUGUUGGCCCUCCGUGUAUAAUUAUUCUACAUAUACUCCCUCCUCUUCACAUGGUCUCUGCCAACCACUGUCCUGCUGUAUCUCUCCUUUUCUUUGUGGUCUCUCUCUCUCCUUCUCUGCUACUCUUGAAUCUCUCCGAUAUCCAACUCCAAGGGUGUUGUUUUGCAGAGUUGCAAAAUAGUUGUGUUUGAGCGGUGCUAUGUAAGUUGGCCUGACUCAGGAGGUUUACAUAGGUACAGCUGAACAGUACAUCUUGGAUGUCUCAAAAACUCAAACUGACAGUUUGUCAUUCCUUAUCCUUCUGCUGUUAAAAGAGGACACUGGCUGAAAUAGGCUUUCAUUAAAGGAUAAUUCCAGGUUAUUACUACUUGGUUCUUGUUUUUGUAGUUUUGGCCCUCAUUUCAAUUUUUUCUGAUAACAUGUACUCAAAGUAAUUGCUGAGAUCUGGAAACAUGACUGUAACCAAGUCUGAUAUGUACUAAACAAUUUAGCCAGAUUAUCUAAAGCACUUAAUUUAGAGAUAAAACUGAAAGUGAGCACAUCCAAAAGGUCAGUCGUAGUGCCGAAGUCACUCUGUAAACUCAGUUUGGAUACAAAUGUUGUUUGCCUUUGUUUUCUCUUCCCUUCUAGUUUGGGUAACUGGGGGAUUUGUUUAAAACUGGUAUGACUGUCUGACUGUUUGUUUAGUAUUCCCAGAUCUCAGCAAUUAACUUGGUUAAGUUCAAAGAUAUUAGUACCAAUUGGAACGAUGGCCAGAACUCCUAAAAUAAGACCCAAGCUGACAAAAUGAUAUCAACUCAAGGUCCACUAACUCACUUGUUCUGGAGCUUUCCACUGUAUAGAUUUAGUUUGCUCAGCUUGUCUUGGAACUGUACAUGUUCAAACUUUCAUGAUUAUGAGCAACGGACCUUGUUUUCACUGUCAAGCUCAACUAAAUGUGAUCAGAAUCAUGAAAAGUUCUGUGACACCUGAGCAAACAUCGCCAUAUAAAUAAAUCAUCGGUCCUUAAAUUUGAGAUUGUUUAGUCAACUGCUGUUUCCAAGGUCAAGAACAAAUGGUAAAACUCAAGAUCAGAGUUGUAAUGAACUGGAGAUUAUCCUUUUUAAAGAGAUGCAGAGUGUAUUGGCAACUGUGUCUUUACGAAUUAUGCUACCGGAGUUGUGAUACAUGACUGGAAAUCAUCCGACUGUACUGAUUUUGGCCAAUGCUCUCUUCUAACAAGGUGUUCCCAGUGACACUGAAACAGCCUUCCUGUGUUCCUCUGUCUCUAUUCUCUGUACUCCCUGGUCUGUGAUGUCCACAAUACACUCAGAUCUUGUUGCUGGUGUUAUCCACUCAAAAUUAAAACUUCCUUUGAGUGCGUGAUACAUGGCUUUCUCCUCUGAGGGUGACACUACAAGUAAUCUCCGUUGUGUGAAACUCUUGUGGCACUUGUUUGGGGUGGUGACCAAGUGGAGGAAUGUUUCCUUCUCACUCUGGAUCCAUCUGAUAAAGAGGAGGCUUUAAUAUUUCGACUCAAAGAUCUUUCUCUCUCGCUGUCUCCCCCUACAGUCGGACCCUCUGCAGUGCAGCGGCUGGACAGCUCCACGGUGAGAACCUACUCCUGCUGAGAGGUGGAAGAGAGGGACCUUAAACUGUACGCUGUUCAGUUCUGAAUGGAGAUUAACUAGGGGAGCUACUGAAUGGGCCAACCUGCCGAGGAACAAACCAUUCUGAUGACACGCACUGCCAAGAGGCCCUGCUCUCCUCUCUGACCCACUUCCCGACCCUACUCCACGCCCCCAUAAUGUGGGCACCAGAUGCCGGUGCUAAACUGUCCUGCAGGCUACCCCGUUGUCACCAUUUCUACCUUUUACAUGUACAGUAACUUGUCGAACCAUAACAUACUGUGUAUUUCUUCUACAGGAGAUAUGUAGGUUAUCUGUACAUAAAUGCCAUUUUUUUAUAUAUAUAUAUAUAUAUAUAUAUAUACACACACACCUAUGUAUAAAGAUAUUCAGAGUUUGUGCAAAAAAAUGUCCCUGCCACCUCAUUUAGUGGACCAUAGAUUAAUAUAUGCUGCUCUUUAAACUGUCUCCAUAUUAUCCCGCCCCUCUAGAUCAUUUUGUACAUAUGGUUUUAUUUUUUCAUUGUGCUGAUGAUGAUGAUGAUGAACUUGUGCUGCACCACAGAGAGGGGAAGAGACUGGAUGUUGUGUGAAAGCCUGCCCUCUAGUGGUGUACAAAAACCACUCUUCUGGCACCAACAAACUUCAUUAUCCUUUCUUAUGGACUCGCUGUCAUAAUAGGAGUGUUUUAAGAGGACAUGUUGACGCACUUGAACGACAUGACAAGCACUUUGAUACAACCGCAUCAACUCAACGGACUAUUCAGUAGCCAAGGACAAAACGAGACGCCAUUGCUCUCCGAAGUUGUACAAAACUUCUCAGAACAAAAAAGCAGGACGUCAUUCAUAGAACCUGUUACUUGUUGUACUGUAUGUUUUGUCAGGCGAUACAUUAUUACAAAGGACAACUACACACACGCACACACACAGCCGAGCUGGCCUUCUACCCCACCCCUCAGACACUACGUUAACAGAACACAGGAAAUAACUGAAAGACAGACUGCUUUAGCUCAGUGUGUGUAGAGUGUAUAUGACCAUGUUGAAGUGAGGUGACUUUUAAUGACAAAAACCUGUUGCUUGCUGUGACUUACAUUGUGUAACUGUUAACUCCUUGUUUCUGUCAGUUUCCAGGGUAACCUGUUGUACAGCCCUGUUAUCUGUCUUUUAGUUAUUUCUGAUGGACGACUCAAACAAGUCUUACGCUUUUAAUUUGUUUUACAUCUUCAAUUUGCACGAACAAUGAAUCAUUUUAUUUUGUCUUUUUUUUUUUAUUCUUGUACUUUGGUCAAAGUGGUGAGCAAGCAAAUUUUCAUUGUCAAUAAAAAAAAACUGUCAGUAAA